UGAAAGGAUAUUCAUGAUCUUUUAUAAGAAAGAGUCAGGUUCCAAACAGCAAAAUAAGAUUGUGUGGUAAAACCAGGUAAGGGGGAAAACAAUGGAAAGCCUGGUAGGAUCUGUGACUAUGGUUAACACCGCAUGCCAACAGGGCUGUCCCACAUGGUCUCUGAACCUUUGAGCAAACGGAAUCAUCUGGAAAGCGUGACGGGUAAGAACGCUGAGGUGGGAGAGAGAAGCCGCUGGCCUUCAGGCACAGGAACGGCCAGGCGUCCUCUCAGGACCGGUCUCCGCUGCGUCCUUCCACCUCGCAGGUAAACCCCUCCCUGCACGGGCUCUUUCUGGGCGCUCAGGACUGCUGUGGGGCCGCGGCCAAGUCUUGCACACCACACCUGUGUUACACACAUCCACGCACGCUCCUCCGGCUAAGCAGCUGCUUUUGUGCGGGGAGGUGGGAGGAAGGGUCCCCGAGAGCAAACGGAUCCUAGCGGCACCCUGCACGGCCAGGCCGGGCAGCCGCGUGAGGACGGGAGGUUGUGUCCCCUUUGUGUUGAAAGCCUGACCCCCGAGGCGACGGUGUCAGCAGGUGGGCUCUGUGGGAGGUCAUUCGGUCCUGAGGGGGUGGCCCCCAUGAUGGGAUCAGCGUCCUUAUGAAAGAGACCCCGGGGAGGCCCCUCGCCCCUCCCGCAGGUGAAGACACAGCGAGAAGACAUCUGGGGACCCGGAAGUGGGGUCUCACCACACACCAAAUGUACAAGUGCCUUGAACUUGGACGUCCGGCCUCCAGAACUGCGGGGAAUGAAUGUCUGUGGUUGAUAAGCUGCCCGGUCUGUGGUGUUUUUUACAGCCACUGGGAGGGACAGAGAGAAAAUUUUAAGGCCUUACUGACACAAUCUUAAUUAACGAUGGUUUGAGGUCCUCGAGGGGUUCCACAGGAGAGCACGGUGGGUCCCUGCACCCCUGAAUCUUGUGUUUGAUUUUGGAAUGAGGGGAAAACCUCACAGUCACUUCUGAAGCUUGUGGUUUCUCAUCCUUAGCAGUAAGUGGAGACUCUAAAAAGCACAGUAAUAACUCAUCCCGAGAAUCUCUUCUCAGAAGUUAGGCAACAAAAUGGUGUCCCAUUCCAGGAGGCCUUCCCUGUCCCCACCCGGGCCUGGCACCAGGUCAGGCCUCCUGCAGCCCGCGUGGUGUGCUUAAAACAGCAAACCGUGCUCACUGGGGCCUCCAUGACGUAUUUAUAUUAUCGCAACUGAGGUUCAUUUACGAGAGAAGUACAACUAUUUCCGGAUGAAAAGCGAGGUCAAAAUGCCUUGCCCAGGGCCAGGACCCAAGCCCAGGUCCCGACACAGCCAGCUUCCAGGCUCGGAGCAGCACAGACAUGGACAUUGCCUCAAAGACAUCAAGAACCUCCCGAUUCGACUUGGAAAACGAUAAAACAAAAUCGUAAAAACACCGCAUUUCCCUGCUCUGCACGUGAAGCCCUGGAAAGGCAUUUCUCCUGCUCUGGGAUGCUCCGCCAGACCCGACCCACCUGUGCUCAGCUUGACCUUCUCUCCUGGAUGUUUGGGAAAGCAGAGAAAGUCCUGUGACCCUGACCUUUGGUUUUCUUUCUGGACUACACAUUCGGGGCUUUCUAACAAAGUAAAUUGAGAUAAACCCGUCAUCAACUGCGGAAAGGAAGGCUAGGCAGAAAAUAAGUUAUACAUAUGCAUUAAAUGUUAUUUAAUUUGCUAAAGACCAAAUGGGCUGCACAAAAGAUUGCAAGCCAAGGUGAUCUGCGCAAGGUUUUUGCUCCAGCUGUGCACGCCUUUCACCCCUUGGAUUUUUGCUUUUGAUUUGCCGAAUUCCCCAAAGUUAGAAAACAGGACGUACACACACACCCACACACACACAACUUUUUGCACCUCCUUGGGAGUCUAGCUUUUGAUCCGUACCCCUCCCCCCAAAACAUUAGAAGGCCCGAUGUGUAUGGUUUUUCGCACUUUGGGGAAAAAAAGGGAACGGACCAUUGUUACCAGCCUUCAGAAUUCUCUUUAAUGCUAAUAAUUAAGCUCAAAUUCCUUACGAGGUAACACCAUGCUCCAGCACUGGUUCUUGGAAAACAUUUGGAGAGCUCAUCCCUGGACUUGUACGUAACCUUCCCAGCGACCUGCCAGUUGGGGCUGACAGGUUUGUUUUUCUUUCCAUUGAGGUCACGACCAGUAGGUAGAUUUCAAAUGAGGAGAAAUUUGCAAACCCAGGCUUUUAUGUUGUGAACGGUGCUGUGUACAAUGUUACCAUGUCAACAUAUUUUAAGAAGCAUUCGUUACUUAUUAAGCCUGGGAGAGCUUACGCAAUACUCCUUUACAUUUGUUUGUGGAUUUUAUUGUUUUUAAUGGGGAGUACUUGAAGCAAGCUACCUGUCACUCAGGACUUAGCCAAGGCUUGUGUGUGUGGCAGCCGGUUAGAUUGAAGCCUGAGAAUUCGUAGGCACGUCAUAAACUGUCUUGAAAAUGAG